rnacentral:misc_RNA from 1 species
AACCCUUGUGGAGGAGGACGCCGAAGGUGGGGCUAAUGACUGGGGUGAAGUCGUAACAAGGUAGCCGUACCGGAAGGUGCGGCUGGAUCACCUCCUAACAGGGAGACAACAAAAUGUUUAAUAUUAUUAUUUUGUCACCUUAGGUCGAUCGGUAUCUCACGUUUUUAAUUUAUUAAGAAUUUCAUUUCCUAAGUUUUUCUAGGUCACACCCAUUAUUUUUCCUGGGCCAUUAGCUCAGGUGGUUAGAGCGCACCCCUGAUAAGGGUGAGGUCCCUGGUUCAAGUCCAGGAUGGCCCAUAUCUCUAUGUUGGGGGUAUAGCUCAGUUGGUAGAGCGCCUGCUUUGCAAGCAGGAUGUCAGCGGUUCGAGUCCGCUUACCUCCACUGAUUACCACCUCUUCCAUAACCGGUAGAAAGGAAAUGUUUUGAGUUGUGAUCAAAUUCUGAAAGAAUCUAGCUUCCUAAUAACCUUAUUAAGAUGCUGGACUCAUUGAAUUAAUUUCAUUGUUUUCAGAGAACCUUGACAACUGCAUAGAUUAUUUUUAAAGACAAUAAGCAUCUUUAAUGAUGCAGAUUUAUUAUUUGUGCGAAUGCAUUAAUAACAAUUCUAUUAAGCUGAUGCUUCAAUUUUUGAAGUUAUUGGUCAAGCUACAAAGGGCUCACGGAGGAUACCUAGGCACACAGAG